rnacentral:lncRNA from 1 species
CCGAUACUCCAAAAUAGUCAAAGUAUCGGUGUCUAACACAUAUCUAACACCAUAUACCUGUCCGAUACAGAAAACUAUAUAUCAUGUUUGAUUAUAGCACACAUUUUCAGAACUGUUAGAUUAAAACACACUCAAUCAUAAUAACAUAUCCUGUGAAAUUAGUGGUCUAAACUUUGUGCCUAUAUACUAUUUAAGACUACAUGCACAACAAAAACUUUUGUGUUUCUCCCAGCUAAUUCAUUCAUGGAAAACAUACUGCUAUCAUAAAGUAAUCCUUACACUAUACAUCAGUAAUAACAAUUACAAUUUUUUGUCAAGAGAAAGGACUUAGUUCCAAGGAACUCAUUUCAUAUCAAUUUAUUCAAUCUAAUGUGACUCACUUACAAGGCAAAACAUAACAAAUAUAAUAUGAAUAAAUUAGACAAUUUAGAGAGGACUGCAAAAUGCAUCUACUCAUAUAUGAGGAAAUAACAUAGAUUAAACUUACAAUAUGAAUGUCUA